GCGGAGGUAAUUCAGUGGUAGAAUGUCACCCUUCCAAGGUGAACGUCGAGAGUUCGAAUCUCUUCCUCCGCU
rnacentral:tRNA from 1 species